GGGAUCAUUACCGAGUUUACAACUCCCAAACCCAAUGUGAACGUUACCAAACUGUUGCCUCGGCGGGAUCUCUGCCCCGGGUGCGUCGCAGCCCCGGACCAAGGCGCCCGCCGGAGGACCAACCUAAAACUCUUAUUGUAUACCCCCUCGCGGGUUUUUUUAUAAUCUGAGCCUUCUCGGCGCCUCUCGUAGGCGUUUCGAAAAUGAAUCAAAACUUUCAACAACGGAUCUCUUGGUUCUGGCAUCGAUGAAGAACGCAGCGAAAUGCGAUAAGUAAUGUGAAUUGCAGAAUUCAGUGAAUCAUCGAAUCUUUGAACGCACAUUGCGCCCGCCAGUAUUCUGGCGGGCAUGCCUGUCCGAGCGUCAUUUCAACCCUCGAACCCCUCCGGGGGGUCGGCGUUGGGGAUCGGCCCUCCCUUAGCGGGUGGCCGUCUCCGAAAUACAGUGGCGGUCUCGCCGCAGCCUCUCCUGCGCAGUAGUUUGCACACUCGCAUCGGGAGCGCGGCGCGUCCACAGCCGUUAAACACCCAACUUCUGAAAUGUUGACCUCGGAUCAGGUAGGAAUACCCGCUGAACUUAAGCAUAUCAAUAAGCGGAGGAAAAGAAACCAACAGGGAUUGCCCCAGUAACGGCGAGUGAAGCGGCAACAGCUCAAAUUUGAAAUCUGGUCCCUAGGGCCCGAGUUGUAAUUUGUAGAGGAUGCUUUUGGUGAGGUGCCGCCCGAGUUCCCUGGAACGGGACGCCACAGAGGGUGAGAGCCCCGUCUGGCUGGCCGCCGAGCCUCUGUAAAGCUCCUUCGACGAGUCGAGUAGUUUGGGAAUGCUGCUCAAAAUGGGAGGUAUAUGUCUUCUAAAGCUAAAUAUUGGCCAGAG
rnacentral:rRNA from 1 species